UGGGGAAUCCUGCGCAAUGGGCGAAAGCCUGACGCAGCGACACCGCGUGAGUGAGGAAGGUCUUCGGAUUGUAAAGCUCUGUCGGCAGGAAAGAUGGAACAGGUGGUUAAUACCCAUUUGUUUUGACGUUACCCUCAGAAGCAGCACCGGCUAACUCCGUGCCAGCAGCCGCGGUAAUACGGGGGGUGCAAGCGUUAAUCGGAAUUAUUGGGCGUAAAGGUGCGUAGGUUGUUUGAUAAGAUAUAUGUGAAAUACCUGGGCUCAACCUGGGAAGGUCAUAUAAGACUGUCAGACUCGAGUAUGGGAGAGGGUAGAGGAAUUUCCGGUGUAGCGGUGAAAUGCGUAGAUAUCAAGAGGAACACCUGAGGUGAAGACGGGUUGCUGGGCUGACACUGACGCUGAGGCGCGAAAGCCAGGGGAGCAAACGGGAUUAGAUACCCACGUAGUCCCUGAGCGGGCUGGCAAGGCGCAU
rnacentral:rRNA from 1 species